rnacentral:rRNA from 1 species
GAUCUCAGUUCGGACUGUAGGCUGCAACUCGCCUACACGAAGUUGGAAUGCUAGUAAUCGUGGAUCAGCAUGCCACGGUGAAUACGUUCCCGGGUCUUGUACACACCGCCCGUCACACCAUGGGAGCUGGUAACACCCGAAGUCAGUAGUCUAACCGCAAGGAGGACGCUGCCGAAGGUGGGAUUAGCGACUGGGGUGAAGUCGUAACAAGGUAUC